CCUACGGGAGGCAGCAGUGGGGGAUAUUGCACAAUGGGGGGAACCCUGAUGCAGCGACGCCGCGUGGGUGAAGAAGCGCCUCGGCGCGUAAAGCCCUGUCAGCAGGGAAGAAAAUGACGGUACCUGAAGAAGAAGCCCCGGCUAACUACGUGCCAGCAGCCGCGGUAAUACGUAGGGGGCAAGCGUUAUCCGGAUUUACUGGGUGUAAAGGGGGCGCAGACGGCGAUGCAAGCCAGGAGUGAAAGCCCGGGGCUCAACCCCGGGACUGCUUGUGGAACUGCGUGGCUGGAGUGCAGGAGGGGCAGGCGGAAUUCCUGGUGUAGCGGUGAAAUGCGUAGAUAUCAGGAGGAACACCGGUGGCGAAGGCGGCCUGCUGGACUGCAACUGACGUUGAGGCCCGAAAGCGUGGGGAGCAAACAGGAUUAGAUACCCCAGUAGUC
rnacentral:rRNA from 1 species